GACGAACGCUGGCGGCGUGCUUAACACAUGCAAGUCGAACGGAAAGGCCCUGCUUUUGUGGGGUGCUCGAGUGGCGAACGGGUGAGUAACACGUGAGUAACCUGCCCUUGACUUUGGGAUAACUUCAGGAAACUGGGGCUAAUACCGGAUAGGAGCUCCUGCUGCAUGGUGGGUGUUGGAAAGUUUCGGCGGUUGGGGAUGGACUCGCGGCUUAUCAGCUUGUUGGUGGGGUAGUGGCUUACCAAGGCUUUGACGGGUAGCCGGCCUGAGAGGGUGACCGGCCACAUCGGGACUGAGAUACGGCCCAGACUCCUACGGGAGGCAGCAGUGGGGAAUAUUGCACAAUGGGCGGAAGCCUGAUGCAGCAACGCCGCGUGCGGGAUGACGGCCUUCGGGUUGUAAACCGCUUUCGCCUGUGACGAAGCGUGAGUGACGGUAAUGGGUAAAGAAGCACCGGCUAACUACGUG
rnacentral:rRNA from 1 species